CGGGGUGUGGUGCAGAUGGUAGCACGCUUGGUUCGGGACCAAGAGGUCGCUGGUUCAAAUCCAGUCACUCCGACCA
rnacentral:tRNA from 1 species